UUGAACGCUGGCGGCAUGCCUUACACAUGCAAGUCGAACGGCAGCACGGGGGCAACCCUGGUGGCGAGUGGCGAACGGGUGAGUAAUGCAUCGGAACGUGCCCUGAAGUGGGGGAUAACGUAGCGAAAGUUACGCUAAUACCGCAUAUUCUGUGAGCAGGAAAGCAGGGGAUCGAAAGACCUUGCGCUUUAGGAGCGGCCGAUGUCGGAUUAGCUAGUUGGCGAGGUAAAGGCUCACCAAGGCAACGAUCCGUAGCGGGUCUGAGAGGAGGAUCCGCCACACUGGGACUGAGACACGGCCCAGACUCCUACGGGAGGCAGCAGUGGGGAAUUUUGGACAAUGGGCGCAAGCCUGAUCCAGCCAUGCCGCGUGAGUGAAGAAGGCCUUCGGGUUGUAAAGCUCUUUCGGCCGGGAAGAAAUCGUGGUCUCUAACAUAGGCCAUGGAUGACGGUACCGGACUAAGAAGCACCGGCUAACUACGU
rnacentral:rRNA from 1 species